UGAGUAACACGUGACUUAUCUACCCUCGAGUGGGGAAUAACUUCGGGAAACCGAGGCUAAUACCGCAUAAUACCCACGGGUCAAAGGAGCAAUUCGCUUGAGGAGGAGGUCGCGGCCGAUUAGUUAGUUGGCGGGGUAAUGGCCCCACCAAGACGGUGAUCGGUAUCCGGCCUGAGAGGGCGCACGGACACACUGGAACUGAAACACGGUCCAGACUCCUACGGGAGGCAGCAGUGGGGAAUUUUGCGCAAUGGGGGAAACCCUGACGCAGCAACGCCGCGUGGAGGAUGAAGUCUCUUGGGACGUAAACUCCUUUCGAUCGGGACGAUUAUGACGGUACCGGAAGAAGAAGCCCCGGCUAACUUCGUG
rnacentral:rRNA from 1 species